ACGCCGUAAACGAUGAGUGCUAGGUGUUAGACCCUUUCCGGGGUUUAGUGCCGCAGCUAACGCAUUAAGCACUCCGCCUGGGGAGUACAACCGCAAGGUUGAAACUCAAAGGAAUUGACGGGGGCCCGCACAAGCGGUGGAGCAUGUGGCUUAAUUNGAAGCAACGCGAAGAACCUUACCAGGUCUUGACAUCCCCCUGACCGCUCUAGAGAUAGAGUUUUCNUUCGGGACAGAGGUGACAGGUGGUGCAUGGUUGUCGUCAGCUCGUGUCGUGAGAUGUUGGGUUAAGUCCCGCAACGAGCGCAACCCCUAUUGUUAGUUGCCAUCAUUCAGUUGGGCACUCUAGCGAGACUGCCGGUAAUAAACCGGAGGAAGGUGGGGAUGACGUCAAAUCAUCAUGCCCCUUAUGACCUGGGCUACACACGUGCUACAAUGGCUGGUACAACGAGUCGCAAGCCGGUGACGGCAAGCUAAUCUCUUAAAGCCAGUCUCAGUUCGGAUUGUAGGCUGCAACUCGCCUACAUGAAGUCGGAAUCGCUAGUAAUCGCGGAUCAGCACGCCGCGGUGAAUACGUUCCCGGGCCUUGUACACACCGCCCGUCACACCACGAGAGUUUGUAACACCCGA
rnacentral:rRNA from 1 species